rnacentral:rRNA from 1 species
GACGAACGCUGGCGGCGUGCCUAAUACAUGCAAGUUGAGCGCUGAAGGUUGGUACUUGUACCAACUGGAUGAGCAGCGAACGGGUGAGUAACGCGUGGGGAAUCUGCCUUUGAGCGGGGGACAACAUUUGGAAACGAAUGCUAAUACCGCAUAAAAACUUUAAACACAAGUUUUAAGUUUGAAAGAUGCAAUUGCAUCACUCAAAGAUGAUCCCGCGUUGUAUUAGCUAGUUGGUGAGGUAAAGGCUCACCAAGGCGAUGAUACAUAGCCGACCUGAGAGGGGGAUCGGCCACAUUGGGACUGAGACACGGCCCAAACUCCUACGGGAGGCAGCAGUAGGGAAUCUUCGGCAAUGGACGAAAGUCUGACCGAGCAACGCCGCGUGAGUGAAGAAGGGUUUCGGAUCGUAAAACUCUGUUGGUAGAGAAGAACGUUGGUGAGAGUGGAAAGCUCAUCAAGUGACGGUAACUACCCAGAAAGGGACGGCUAACUACGUG